rnacentral:lncRNA from 1 species
UCUAAGCAUUAUUGUGAAAGGGAUGAGUCCGAGGAACACGGCUCUGAUACCAACUGUAACGACUCCGGAAUUUAAAUAAAGAUGUGUGUAUUAAAAUUCUUAAAUGCGGAAGCAUAAUAAAAAUUUGAUUAACAUUCCUUACACAAUAACCAAAAACAUACUCAAAACAUGAAAGAAUAAGCUAAUUAAAAGAGAUACUCGAAAUAAAAACUAUAAAUAGAACUAUAAAGUCUUUAGGCAUCCAACUCGCCGUCUUCCUGCGGAAUGGGCUCGGGAACUCCGUCUUCCUGAUCUGAAAUAGUUAAGUAAGGAAUGAGCUACACUAGCCCAAUAAAGGUAUCACACUAUCUCACUGC